AUGAUGAGCUGGAGAAGUGACCUCUCUACCUACAACGUUUCUUCUCAUCACACGAGUACUGUUUUCGGCUCGGAUUCGAUGCACAGGGUAACCAUCCUGCCACCACCAGGGAGCUCUUGGUUGCACUGCAAUCAGCGAGGCCUUGUCAACUCGCUGAUGCCACUUAACCUCUAUGGCCUCUCAUUGCUCAAGAUGGAUAGUUUUGUGCAGUUAAGAGUUGAUGUUCCAUGCUAUUCUUUGUUCCUUGUGCUGCCAGUAGAGACGUGGUUUGUGUGCAAGUCGAUGCAAACCUGCUGUUGUGAUGGUUGGGGAGCCGAGAACAAACCUUACUUCAGCAGGGUGUUUGAAGUGGCACUAGACGUUGAUGCUCACGCCGUUGUCAGAAAUGCACUGAGCUACUCAACCUGUGAGUAUUACUUUGCUCCUCCACUGAUGAUUGGUACCAUCUUUCUACAGAUUGGUACCAUCUUUCUGUGGACUGGCACGUAUAAGAGAAGGUCACUCACUGUCAGGACCGACAAAGUGCAUACUGAAGAUGACGAGGGGAUGGGCUAG
rnacentral:rRNA from 1 species